GAUGAACGCUGGCGGCGUGCUUAACACAUGCAAGUCGAACGGGAAACCUUUUAUUGAAGCUUCGGCAGAUUUAGCUGGUUUCUAGUGGCGGACGGGUGAGUAACGCGUGGGUAACCUGCCCUAUACAGGGGGAUAACAACCAGAAAUGGUUGCUAAUACCGCAUAAGCGCACAGGGCCGCAUGGUCCGGUGUGAAAAACUCCGGUGGUAUAGGAUGGACCCGCGUUGGAUUAGCCAGUUGGCAGGGUAACGGCCUACCAAAGCGACGAUCCAUAGCCGGCCUGAGAGGGUGAACGGCCACAUUGGGACUGAGACACGGCCCAGACUCCUACGGGAAGCAGCAGUGGGGAAUAUUGCACAAUGGGGGAAACCCUGAUGCAGCGACGCCGCGUGAAGGAAGAAGUAUCUCGGUAUGUAAACUUCUAUCAGCAGGGAAGAUAGUGACGGUACCUGACUAAGAAGCCCCGGCUAACUACGUG
rnacentral:rRNA from 1 species